rnacentral:rRNA from 1 species
UACGUAGGUGGCAAGCGUUGUCCGGAUUUACUGGGCGUAGAGAGCGCGCAGGCGGUCGUGCAAGUCGCGUGUGAAAGCCCCCGGCUCAACUGGGGAGGGUCACGCGAUACUGUUCGACUCGAAGGCAGGAGAGGGAAGCAGAAUUCCCGGUGUAGUGGUGAAAUGCGUAGAUAUCGGGAGGAAUACCAGUGGCGAAGGCGGCUUCCUGGCCUGUUCUUGACGCUGAGGCGCGAAAGCUAGGGUAGCAAACGGG